UAAACAAAUAACAGAAUAACAAAAAAUAUAAAAGUAACUAGAUUUGAAUGAAUGUUUUUAAAGUACUCCGAAGCUACAUGCAGUACCAGCUCUGUACAGCAAUGGCUCUAGAGAACUAAAAUUGUUUUACAACAUAACUCUGUAUUAUCAGAAGUAAAACAAACUGAACAGAAGCUCCAUCUUAAAACAAGAACGGGCAUAAGAAUGUUAGAAUGGGGGGCCACUUUGCAUAUGGCUUGUUGAACUUCUUCUAUGAAAUCAGCACACACACCCCCUUUGUUCUGCAUGCAAUUCCAUAAUCACCCCUUAGGGAAAGGUGGUGAAACCCUCAAGGGCAGAAUCCUCUCCAGUUACACCAAACCGUGACAUGCAAAAAUGACUUUGCACAAGAAUUAUUCGUUACUGAUGCCUACGCAUCUACUCUGCCUCUGCUUGCUUUUUUCCAAUGAAUUGUACUGCCUAGGCUAUCCUGAAGACAGCCAGGAGAUAAAGAUCUGCCACAAAGACCAUCAGGCUUAAUAGAAACUGAAAUGCCCUAGAGAAGCUUGCAGUCUAGGUA